rnacentral:rRNA from 1 species
GACGAACGCUGGCGGCGUGGAUUAGGCAUGCAAGUCGAACGGUAUCAUCCUUUCGGGGGUGAGAGAGUGGCGAACUGGUGAGUAACACGUAGGUUAUCUACCCUCAAGACGGGGACAACCCGGGAAACUUGGGCUAAUACCGGAUGUGAGCAACUUUUAGUUGUUUGAAAGGUGGCGUAAGCUGUCGCUUGGGGAUGAGCCUGCGUCCUAUUAGUUAGUUGGUGAGGUAACGGCUCACCUAGGCAAUGAUAGGUAGGCGGCCUUAACGGGUGGUCGCCCACACUGGGAUUGAGAUACGGCCCAGACUCCUACGGGAGGCAGCAGUCGAGAAUAGUCUACAAUGGUCGGAAGACUGAUAGUGCGACGCCGCGUGAACGAUGAAUCCCUUCGGGGUGUAAAGUUCUUUUAUAUGUGAGCAGUGCUUCUUAUAUUAACAGUAUGGGGAGAGAGAUAUUAGCAUAUGAAUAAGCAACGGCUAACUCCGUG